AUGCAAGUCGAACGGCAGCACGGGAGCAAUCCUGGUGGCGAGUGGCGAACGGGUGAGUAAUAUAUCGGAACGUGCCCAGUCGUGGGGGAUAACGUAAAGAAAUUUACGCUAAUACCGCAUACGAUCUAAGGAUGAAAGCGGGGGACCGUAAGGCCUCGCGCGAUUGGAGCGGCUGAUAUCAAAUUAGGUUGUUGGUGAGGUAAAAGCUCACCAAGCCAACAAUCUGUAGCUGGUUUGAGAGAACGACCAGCCACACUGGGACUGAGACACGGCCCAAACUCCUACGGGAGGCAGCAGUGGGGAAUUUUGGACAAUGGGCGAAAGCCUGAUCCAGCAAUGCCGCGUGCAGGAAGAAGGCCUUCGGGUUGUAAACUGCUUUUGUACGGAACGAAAAGGUCUGCCCUAAUACGGCGGGCCCAUGACGGUACCGUAAAAAUAAGCACCGGCUAACUACGUGCCAGCAGCCGCGGUAAUACGUAGGGUGCGAGCGUUAAUCGGAAUUACUGGGCGUAAAGCGUGCGCAGGCGGUGAUGUAAGACAGUUGUGAAAUCCCCGGGCUCAACCUGGGAAUUGCAUCUGUGACUGCAUCGCUAGAGUACGGUAGAGGGGGAUGGAAUUCCGCGUGUAGCAGUGAAAUGCGUAGAUAU
rnacentral:rRNA from 1 species